GGGGGUGUAGCUCAGUUGGUUAGAGCGCCUGCCUGUCACGCAGGAGGUCGCGAGUUCAAGUCUCGUCACUCCCGCCA
rnacentral:tRNA from 2 species